GACGAACGCUGGCGGCGUGCCUAAUACAUGCAAGUCGAACGCAGUGGGGCCGGGUGAGUAACACGUGGGUAACCUCCCAUCAGAGGGGAUAAACCUUGGACACAGGUGCUAAAACGAUACUGUUGGAUGGACACGCGGUGAAUUAGCUAGUUGGUGAGGUAACAGCUCACCAAGGCCACGAUGCAUAGCCGACCUGAGAGGGUGAUCGGCCACACUGGGACUGAGACACGGCCCAGACUCCUACGGGAGGCAGCAUUAGGGAAUAUUCGGAAAUGGACGAAAGUCUGACCGAGCAACGCCGCUUGAGUGAAGAAGGUUUUCGGAUCGUAAAACUCUGUUGUUAGAGAAGCGGUAUCUAACCAGAAAGCCACGGCUAACUACGUGCCAGCAGCCGCGGUAAUUC
rnacentral:rRNA from 1 species